GCCACCCAAACACCAUCGAGAAAGAAGAACCAGAGAGGAGAAGCGCAUGGGAGAGAGGGAGGAAGAGAGGGCGGGCCGUCGUGAGAGAAAGCGUUCGAUAGAGUAGAGAUUUCUCAGCGGGGGACUCGUUAGUCUAUGUCGCGCGUGUUUGGAGGGGCUUUUGGGUUUGGGAACCAUCGGAGCCGCCGAAUUUCCUCGUCGUUGUGAGACCACCAUCGCCGGAGAUCCAGUGUUGUGGGCAGGACACUCUGUUGCUCUAUUCAAGGUAUGCUACCCUCCCCUAAGUUCAUUUUCAUCUGCUUCACUCUUAUCACUCUCGGGGUGGAUGUUCGAGCUUGGAUUUGGAUGGUUGGGGGCGGCCAUGGCGCCACCGCGGGGAGCUUGAACGUUGCCGGCUGGCUGUCUAUGGGGUGGGGUAAAUCCUUGGUCGUUCACCCAUUUUUGGUCGGCCAGGAUUAGACCCGUUGUGUACCCCUUCGUAGUUGGACCUGGGGCGUCCAAUCUAGAUCGUGUGAAGCGUCUCGAUCUUUUAAGGCUCAAAUAUGAUACAGUUACUAGUACCAAGAGGCUAGUAAACACAUUCAUUUCAUCAGAUAGUAUAGAGUCUUACAUAAUAGCUAUUACAAUACCAAAAGCAAGCUCUAGCGAGCCUGGGAUAAUAGCGGAGCGGGAAAACUAGCCCGAGCCACAGACAAACUGGGUGCAGACACAACCCCCUUUUUAGUUGAAUAUAGCAGAAAGGAAGACUCCGAUAGCUGAAAACAUAAAUAAAGCUGGGUGAAUACUCACGUAUUCCGCAAGCCCAUCCUAACUCGUAAAGAUAGAGGGACACAUACAGUACAUGCUUGAUAUGGUGGAGUUGUAGUCACUCUUUAUUUUUCUUUGAGAAAAGCGAUACUUGAUGUUUUUACCUAGAAAAAGAGAGAAGUAGCACUUUUCAUACUCAACCACCACUGAGCUUCCCACUCCCGUGACCUCAUCUUUAUUUCCAAAAAUACUCACGCAUUUCCCUUUUCUUAAGAUAAAAACACUCAUUGUCAUACCACACCAGACUCAUCCAUACCAGUGGACACAGACUAUUCGAAUAGGUUUCAAACUCUAAGCAGAGGUGUACACUUUACCCACUAGUCCAGCUCUGUGAUCUCACUGCCAUGAGAUCUGACACCGAAGCUCUUUCCUUCCUUGCAUGACCUUAUUAUACCGGAAGGAACAAGGCCACCUCCAUGCCCAAACCAGGACAAAACAUUCCUCCUUCUUAUCCUCCUGAUGCUCCCUAGCCAUCAUAACCCUAGGGUUCAGACCGUGCAAGUUCAGAUUGAGUGACUGCCCAUACAGUCUCGAAUGGUUGUACUUGUCAUGAGUACAGGUAGUGAAGGAUGACAAACUGGUCCUUAGACGAGGGGGGAAUCCUUCAUGCUCGCACCUAACCCGGCUGAGCCAUCACUAAAAGGGAAAUAGGGUUUAACCUUUUCCUAUAAAUAAUUUUGGUGGUUGAAUGCCCAACACAAAUAAUUGGGCUAACUAGUUUGCUCUAGAUUAUAUAUUCUACAGGUGCAUACAGGAUCAACACAAACCAAUAUUUGAUCAAGAUUAGGGUUCAAAAGCAAAGGAGCAAAGAAACUGAGUGUGCCCUGUCUGGCGCACCGGACUGUCCGGUGUGCCACCGGACAGUGUCCGGUGCACCAGGACCAUACAACUUCGAACUCUUUGUGACACCCCAGUGUCACCUAGGGUUUCUCUCAAAAUGCCAAGCCAAGAACCAUUAUUUCAUGUGAACCAAAGUAAGUAUGAGCAUCAAAUUAACUUAAGUAAGAAAGAAUCCACCAAGUAUAUACUUAAAAGUAUCAUGAUCAAAACAAUUGAGUCUUUUAAAAAGAUAAGAAUGUACAACCCUAAUAAAAACCCUAAGUGAGCCCCAUGAGCAAAAUUCAAGAAAAUAAGAAAAAGGGGAUGAAAAAUUUAAAAUUAUGACUUGAGCCAAUUAUAAAAAUUGAAGUAUAUUUAAUGAGCAACAAGAAAGGUUGAGAAAGCUUAGCCAAAAUAACUCAAAUAAAAUCCCAAAUCAAGCUUCUCAUGUGGGGACUUAAUGGGAAUUCUGAGUUUCAGAAUUCUGAAAUUCAGACCUUGAGCCAAAGAUCAGGGAUGUUCACCUUGAUCCCUAACUCGAAUCCUAAUGGCCCCAUUAACAAAAUUGUGUCUAACUAACCCCUCUGUCGUGUGCCAGAAGAUGGCAUUGGGACGCGAGCCCUAGACAUGACAAAACCUUGGAUUUGCCUCAGGUUUGAGCAGGGAGAUAGACCGGAUUUCCUGGCUCCAUAUCUCUGCAACCAGUAGGCAAAAUCCUAUGACCCCCACACAAGAUCGGUAGCUUGUAGGGAGGAGAAGAGGUUUUGUGCACUGACCAAGGCGAGAGCAGGCUCGGAUGAGCGACCACAUGCGCCAGAACUUGGGCAGAACGCACGGGCACACGUGUUCGACCCUGGUCGGCACGCCAGAGCUCGCCCAACCCGCGCACGCGCUCGCCCCGGCGUCCGGUCAAGUCCGCCGCGCGCCCUUGCCCUCGGUCGUGCCCGCCCGCGCCUAUAAAGCCUCCCCGGGCGCGCCUCAUUUCACCCCGCACUCAUCUUCACCGGCCAGCCACUUUCCCUUAGCUCCGGCGAGCUUAAUUCCGCCCGCCAUUGCCGCCAGAGCUUCGGCCACCGUGGCCAGCCCACUCCAGCCACCCUCAAGUCAAGCCAGUGCUUCGGCUAGCUCCACCAGUAGCCCGUGAAGCUUGCCAAGCCCUCGGACCCGGCCGGACUUCACCGGAGGCCCGAGAUCGACCUCACCGGACUUCGGUCUUCCGCCGCCGCGCGUGGACCGAGCUAUCCAGUGAGUCUCCGACCAAUUCCUUGCGCCCAUAUCUUCUUUGGCAUCCCAUGAACCUCUCUGACCCAUCCAAUUGCUCUAUCUCGCCGUGACCAGGCCGGACUCCUCGCCGCCGACGAGCAUCCCCGCCUGCGCGCGUGGACCGACCGACUCCGGCCAUCUCCGACGCGACCCGCACACCGUUGUGAUCCCCGAGACCUCCCCUACGUCCUCGACCACUUCACCGGAGCAAUCUCGCCGCCGGUAAGCCCCUCCGCCCUUUCUUCCGCCGCAGUUACUGUUUGAGUUAGAAGAAGGACCUCAGGUUAGGAUUUAUAGAACUCGAGGGGUUUUCUGUAACAUCAGUGACUCAUGUGAAUAGUAACUUAAGGACCAAUCCGUAAGGAAAACUUAGAAAACCCGCCAGGGACCCCAGUGCAAAGUGGAUUUCCAUUUAAUCAAUUCUGUUAAUCUUUUUAAAAUGACCAGAGAAUUUAGAAAACCCAUAACUUGAUGAAUUCUUCAUAAAAAGUUGUCAAACUAAAUUUGCUAGCUCCUGAAUAUUAUGAACUAUCAUUUAAAAAUGAUAAACCCUAUGCUCUCUGUUCUAAAUUUUAGAGUUUAAAAUUAAAAACAGAAACUUACCAAACCUAGUUUAAUUAAGGAAAAUUAGUUUUUCUUCUGUGCUGAACUUAAGAAAAUUUGUAGAUGUUCAAACCUCAUUUAGACACUGUUUUAAAAUAGUAGGAACCCCAGCAUUAGAAAAUAUGAUGUAGUUAUUCAUUUAAACCUAUUUUGCCCAAAACUUAGGGAAAAUCAGAAAGACAUUAGAAAGUAAUGAACAGUGAGUAAAAUUAUUUUUCCUAGUUUUCUUAUGUAACAGAGAACCUAGGAAAAAUAGAAAGACCAUUAAUUCAGACCAGUUUUAAAUUAAAAUGUUUUAUUUAGCCUUAUUUGGACUGAAAAUCAAUUAUUAGAGUAGCAAAACUAUAACCAAAAUGAGUAAUAAAAAUCCAGUGGACUUACAACCACCAGAGCCCCACUACAAAAAUAAAGGACACCUCAGCCCAACUUUUUAAGUAAGGAAAAUAAAUAUAAAGUGAUAAUGAGGCAUUUUCCAAAUAAAUCAUGAACAACCCCUAAUAAUGUGAUAAUGGGCAACCAAAAAUUUGCUAAGUCCAUAAUGAGAUAAGCCACCAGAGAAAAAUACAAACCCAUGAAAAAGAAGCAAACUCACACCUAUUGCUAGUGUUUUAUGAGAAAGGCCACUUAAUUCAAAUAAUGCAUACCACCCCUUCCCUUAAGCAAAAAGAUGCCAAACUUCAGAAUGAUUGAUCUUGCACAAAACAAUAACUAAGAAAAAUAAGAACUCUGUUGUUUGAUGUUUUUCAAAUAUAGUGAUUGUAGAAAGCACCUAUUUGGCUAGAAACUUGAGAAAACCAUAGAAAAAUAAUUAAACGGUAUUAAUGACUAGAAAUUUGUAUCAAGUCAUGUUAUAACACCUAAAAGCCAGCAAAAAUAAGUUUUGGAGAAUUACCCACUGUUAAAUAAUAGUUGUAGUUCAAAGCACCCCCUUCUGCCCUAAAAUUUGAUAAUUUUGUCCAGAGAAAACUAUUCACUUUCUGAUCCUCAAAUUUUGAGACAGAGAAACAUACACAAGUACCAAGCCACUGUAAUUGUUACAGAAUUUUUAGAAUUUUAUAAAAGCAACUUGUAGUUCAAACCCACUCCAAAACAUUAAAGGAAUAAAAGAAAAGGAAUGAAGGAAUAAACCCCACCCCAAUAAGCCUACCUUGAAUACUUAUCAAGUCUCCCUAAGACUUAAAAAGAAUUCAAUGGAACCCCAAAAAUAAACCUACCACCUACCUUAGCUAAGUUUGACCCAAUUUACCAAGUAUACCACCCAAGGGACUUAUAUAAGCAAAGUUAACCUUGUUUAACUCAAGAAGAUCAUACACCUUUAAGUUGUAAUUUCUAAAAGCACAUAUCAUAUCAUGCAUAUAUCUUACGCAUUGCAUUAUUUAGAUUGCAAUCUUGCCGACGGAGAGUACGUGCUCAUCCCCGAGCAAGGAUCUGUCCAAAAGGAGGACCAGGAGCAUGCUUCAGAGGCUGCUAUUGAGGAUCUCCCCGCAGCCCCAGCAAUUGAAGGCAAGCCCCGGUUUUUAUGCAUAUCCGUAUUAUUAUAUGAUACUUUACUACACUUAAUGGUUGUAGGUUUGUAAUGUGCACUUAAGUGUAGGAGUUGCUUGAAACCUCUAGUUGCAUGAACUUAGGAUUCCUUUUUGAGAUGAAUACUAGUAUGCUAGGUCGAGUAGCUGCUUGCUAAUCAGGAUCUCGGUAGAAGUCGAGUGAUUUUCUAGCACUCGCGUGAGGUCAGGAAUUGAUUGUAUUCAUCUUGACAACGGGAUAUAUGUUUGUCUAUGGAUUUGGAUCUAGGGAGGAUGCCUUGUCCAUGCGACGGGAAAAAGGAAUUAAGGAUUAAUGUGUGGAUACCUGAGUCAAGCUUUUGAACGUACUAAGCACAUGCCGGGAAAAAUGGUAACCGGUAAACCUAGUACCUGAGUGAAGCCGGGCACGGACUUUAUCCCUCAUGCGACCUGAUACUGGGUCUCCCAUGCUAGCUAUGGUGGGUACAAGUGCGGUCACUGCACGGCGGCAGCCGGGGUCAGUGGAGCAUUGUAUGCCAAGGCGGUGAGGCCUGGACGCGAACGGGGAAUCGAUGGGGACGGUUGUCAUGUGUGGGGUCGGAGUACCCUGACAUGCCGUGUGUUUAGGUUUACCUUGCAAGGUUAAAACUCUAUUCGAAUCGUCUGCUUCUCGCAGCUAAUGAGACUGCUUGACCCCUUGUACUGCAUCGAGUAAGAAGUGAAAUUUGGUUACAUGAGAUAACUUGUUGAUUGAACUAAAUGAUUGUUACCAUGUAUGCUUAGAAGGAGCAAAUCUAGCUAAGUUAAUGAUGAUAGAAAUUGAAAGGCUAAAAAAUUGAUUUUAGAAACAGCUAGUGCUUUUGGCAAACCAAACCCCUCAGCCAAAUAGCUGCAUAGUCUAGAGGUAGAGGAGUAGACUCCUCACACCGGUUAAGUCUAGCUGAGUAUUAGUAUACUCAGCCUUGCUUGUGGCACAAUUUUUGCAGGUACCAUUCAGGAAAUGGUUGAUGGUGUGACUUGGCCUACCACCCUGCCACCGGGUUGGACGGUCGAGUGGGAUGUUGCUCCGGCAGGAGAGGAGCACGAGGAGUAGUGGGCUAGGCCUUGCCCAUUUCCUCGAUACCGACGACAUCGAUUAUCCGCUGCA
rnacentral:lncRNA from 1 species